CCAGUAGUCAUAUGCUUGUCUCAAAGAUUAAGCCAUGCAUGUCUAAGUUUAAGCAAUUAAACCGCGAAACUGCGAAUGGCUCAUUAAAUCAGUUAUAGUUUAUUUGAUAGUACCUUACUACAUGGAUAACCGUGGUAAUUCUAGAGCUAAUACAUGCUAAAAACCCCGACUUCGGAAGGGGUGUAUUUAUUAGAUUAAAAACCAAUGCCCUUCGGGGCGUAACUGGUGAUUCAUAAUAACUUCUCGAAUCGCAUGGCCUUGCGCUGGCGAUGGUUCAUUCAAAUUUCUGCCCUAUCAACUUUCGACGGCUGGGUCUUGGCCAGCCAUGGUGACAACGGGUAACGGAGGGUUAGGGCUCGACCCCGGAGAAGGAGCCUGAGAAACGGCUACUACAUCCAAGGAAGGCAGCAGGCGCGCAAAUUACCCAAUCCCGACACGGGGAGGUAGUGACAAUAAAUACUGAUACAGGGCUCUUUUGGGUCUUGUAAUUGGAAUGAGUACAAUUUAAAUCCCUUAACGAGGAACAAUUGGAGGGCAAGUCUGGUGCCAGCAGCCGCGGUAAUUCCAGCUCCAAUAGCGUAUAUUAAAGUUGUUGAGGUUAAAAAGCUUGUAGUUGAACCUUGGGCUCGGCCCGUCGGUCCGCCUCACCGCGUGCACUGACUGGGUCGGGCC
rnacentral:ncRNA from 1 species